rnacentral:rRNA from 1 species
GACGAACGCUGGCGGCGUGCUUAACACAUGCAAGUCGAACGGUAAGGCCCUUCGGGGUACACGAGUGGCGAACGGGUGAGUAACACGUGGGCGAUCUGCCCUGCACUUCGGGAUAAGCCUGGGCAACUGGGUCUAAUUACGGAUAGGACCACUGCCUGAAUGGGUGGUGGAGGAAAGCCUUUGCGGUGUGGGAUGGGCCCGCGGCCUAUCAGCUUGUUUGUGGGGUGAUGGCCUCCCUAGGCGACGACGGGUAGGCGGCCUGAGAGGGUGACCGGCCACACUGGGACUGGGAGACGGCUCAGACUCCGACGGAAGGCAGCAGUGUGGAAUUUUGGACAAUGGGUGCAACCCUGAUCCAGCCAUGCCGCGUGAGUGAGAAAGGCCUUCGGGUUGUAAAGCUCUUUCGGCCGGGAAGAAAGCGCACGAGCUAAUACCCUGUGUGGAUGACGGUACCGGAAUAAGAAGCACCGGCUAACUAC